AAGGAAACGAGCAGAAGCCGCGGACUCCAGCCCGUUGGCCUCGCAAGGGAAAAGGUUAAGAGUUCACCCCCGCCCCGCGCGUCUGCCCCGGAAGAGGUCCCGCGCGCUCCUUCCGGCCCCGGCGCGUCUGCGCACAGAGGCCCUCUCGGCGCCGGCGAUCGCCCCGCCCCGCGGUCCUGCGCAAGCGCUGUCGUGAGCGCCGGCGGUGCUGGCGGGGCGGGGCGGGGCGGGGCGGGGCGGGGCGGGGCGGGGCGGGGCGCUGCGGUCUCGCGCGUCCUUCUCGGGGAGGGCGGAGCUGGCCCCAGCGGCCCCAGGACCCCCGCCCAGCCUGCCCGGUGCAGGCUCGCGUUCCCGCGGACCCGCGGCCUCGGUCCCCGGCUGGGAAGGACUCCGGGGGAGGCAGACCUCUGCGGGGACGGUGGCUGGCGGCGCGGUUUGCUCCGGGAGUGCGGAGGAGGCCCGGGCCGCGCGGAAACCCGGGGCGUGAGGCUCCCAGGCCUGCCGACGAGUCCGGUUGGGGGGUGGGGCGCGGGAGGCCGAGCGUCGGUGCUCAGGGCCUCGGGGUCCCGAGGCUGCGAGGCUGCGAGGCUGCGCUGCGGAGCAGGCCCGAGCCCCGCCUGUCGCACCUGCCCGCCGGCGGGUCUGUUGCGCAGGCGUCGAUCAGGGAUGGGGGCGUUGGGGGGGGCCGGGGCCGGGGCCAGCCGACCUGGUGGCCGUGGGCGGGUGAGCCGCAGAGGAUCGGGGAUUCCGGUGGGAGGGCGGCCGCGGGGAGGGUCCGCCGACUCCGGGCGCCUGGACAAGACCCCAGAAAACGGGGGGCACACGCCCCAGUCAUUCUCUAGGACGUACCAGACAAAGCCACUUAGGAAACAACAGGGGCGCGCGGGGGCUCGGCGGGUGAGCGCCGCCUGCAGCCCGGGGUGUGGUCCUGGAGGCCCCGGAUCGAGUCCCGCGUCCGGCUCCCUGCGCGGAGCCUGCUGCUCCCUCUGCCUGUGUCUCCGCCUCUCUCUCUCUCUCUCUGUGUCUCAUGAAUAA
rnacentral:lncRNA from 1 species